CAGCUUUGAACACACAUAUCAAGUAGAAUUCAUUACUAAGCGACUACCAGUGGAAACAAAUCCAAAACUACAAACAAAAACUGAGAAACAAAACUUCCUGCAGUUGCAGUAUGCUGGUCCAUGCUGAAAAGGUCCUGACUGUGGUGCAGGAGCACCGCAACACUCUAAAGUUUGCCUUGGCCUUUAUACUGGCCAUAUUGAUUCUGAUUGAAGUGCUUAAGAAACCUGUGACUGGGCCUGUGCCUCGCCCCUCCCAAGCUCCGAUGGCAGAUGAUCCACCAGAGACUCCUCCUAAGAACAUGACUACCCAGCACCGAUACAAUUUGAGAAACACCCCAGCCCGUCGUUCCCGGACAGGUUACUGAUUUUCAUUUCAAAAAGUUUUCAAAAUUUCAAAUUUUCAGGAUAGAAGCAUCAAUAAAUUAUAAACCCUUUUGGUGAUUUGGAAUA